CGGGAAACCGGAGCUAAUACUGAUAAUAUUUUGAACCGCAUGGUUCAAAAGUGAAAGACGGUCUUGCUGUCACUUAUAGAUGGAUCCGCGCUGCAUUAGCUAGUUGGUAAGGUAACGGCUUACCAAGGCAACGAUGCAUAGCCGACCUGAGAGGGUGAUCGGCCACACUGGAACUGAGACACGGUCCAGACUCCUACGGGAGGCAGCAGCG
rnacentral:rRNA from 1 species